GAUGAACGCUGGCGGCGUGCUUAACACAUGCAAGUCGAACGGAAAGGCCCAAGCUUGCUUGGGUACUCGAGUGGCGAACGGGUGAGUAACACGUGGGUGAUCUGCCCUGCACUUCGGGAUAAGCCUGGGAAACUGGGUCUAAUACCGGAUAGGACCACAUUUUGGAUGGUGUGGUGGAAAGUUUUUCGGUGUGGGAUGAGCUCGCGGCCUAUCAGCUUGUUGGUGGGGUAAUGGCCUACCAAGGCGUCGACGGGUAGCCGGCCUGAGAGGGUGUACGGCCACAUUGGGACUGAGAUACGGCCCAGACUCCUACGGGAGGCAGAAGUGGGGAAUAGUGCACAAUGGGCGCAAGCCUGAUGCAGCGACGCCGCGUGGGGGAUGACGGCCUUCGGGUUGUAAACUCCUUUCGCUAGGGACGAAGCGUUAUGUGACGGUACCUGGAGAAGAAGCACCGGCUAACUACGUG
rnacentral:rRNA from 1 species